rnacentral:rRNA from 1 species
GGGACGGGGGGGGGAGGGGGCGGGGGAGGAGGGCGGGGGGGGGGGGGGGGGCGUUUUUAUAUAUCUACUUCCUCCCCCGGGGGGGCGGCGGCCCAAAACACAAAGCCCCGGAAGAGGGCUUCUCUUUGAGAAAAGGGAGCGGUGAAACGGGUAGCACCCCUCUUGGGGGGGGAUAUUUUGGAAACGUAAUUAUCCCCGCACAACAGGGGGACCCCCUUUCUUUUUUGAAGGGGCAAUUCUCCCCUAACAGAGGGGCCCCGGUUUUAUACUUGUAGUGAAGUAAGGCUCCCUUAGGGGACGAACAUAGCCGCCCUGAGAGGUGAUCGCCACACUGGGAUUGAACACGGCCCAGAUUCCUACGGGAGGCAGCAGUAGGAAUCUUCGGCAAUGGGGCAACCCUGACCGAGCAACGCCGCGUGAGUAAGAAGUUUUCGGAUCGUAAAGCUCUGUUGUAAGUCAAGAACGGGUGUGAGAGUGGAAGUUCACACUGUGACGGUAGCUUACCAGAAAGGGACGGCUAACUACGUGCCAGCAGCCGCGGUAAUACGUAGGUCCCGAGCGUUGUCCGGAUUUAUUGGGCGUAAAGCGAGCGCAGGCGGUUUGAUAAGUCUGAAGUUAAAGGCUGUGGCUCAACCAUAGUUCGCUUUGGAAACUGUCAAACUUGAGUGCAGAAGGGGAGAGUGGAAUUCCAUGUGUAGCGGUGAAAUGCGUAGAUAUAUGGAGGAACACCGGUGGCGAAAGCGGCUCUCUGGUCUGUAACUGACGCUGAGGCUCGAAAGCGUGGGGAGCGAACAGGAUUAGAUACCCUGGUAGUCCACGCCGUAAACGAUGAGUGCUAGGUGUUGGAUCCUUUCCGGGAUUCAGUGCCGCAGCUAACGCAUUAAGCACUCCGCCUGGGGAGUACGACCGCAAGGUUGAAACUCAAAGGAAUUGACGGGGGCCCGCACAAGCGGUGGAGCAUGUGGUUUAAUUCGAAGCAACGCGAAGAACCUUACCAGGUCUUGACAUCCCGAUGCUAUUUCUAGAGAUAGAAAGUUACUUCGGUACAUCGGUGACAGGUGGUGCAUGGUUGUCGUCAGCUCGUGUCGUGAGAUGUUGGGUUAAGUCCCGCAACGAGCGCAACCCCUAUUGUUAGUUGCCAUCAUUCAGUUGGGCACUCUAGCGAGACUGCCGGUAAUAAACCGGAGGAAGGUGGGGAUGACGUCAAAUCAUCAUGCCCCUUAUGACCUGGGCUACACACGUGCUACAAUGGUUGGUACAACGAGUUGCGAGUCGGUGACGGCGAGCUAAUCUCUUAAAGCCAAUCUCAGUUCGGAUUGUAGGCUGCAACUCGCCUACAUGAAGUCGGAAUCGCUAGUAAUCGCGGAUCAGCACGCCGCGGUGAAUACGUUCCCGGGCCUUGUACACACCGCCCGUCACACCACGAGAGUUUGUAACACCCGAAGUCGGUGAGGUAACCUUUUGGAGCCAGCCGCCUAAGGUGGACAGAUGAUUGGGGGAAGUCGAAACAAGGAGCAUGGG